rnacentral:pre_miRNA from 1 species
GAUAUACUCCCUCCGUUCGGAAUUACUUGUCGCAGAAAUGGAUGUAUCUAGACGUAUUUUAGUUCUAGAUACAUCCAUUUUCACGACAAGUAAUUCCGAACGGAGGGAGUAUAUC